rnacentral:sRNA from 1 species
GAGGAGUUCACACCCUUCGUGCAGUGU